UGAUCCAUCCUCAGUUCUCCCAGCGCAGCCAUUAAACUCAUUAAACUGUUUUAAAAGUCACCAUUGGCCUCAUGGUGAAAUUCCUGAGCAGUUUCCUUCCUCUGUCAACUGAGUUAGGAAGGACGCCUGUAUCUUUGUAGUGACUGGGUGUAUUAAUACACCAUACAAAAUGUUAAUAAAUUCCCCAUGCUCAAAGGGAUAUUCAAUGUUUGCUUUAAAAAAAUAUAUAUCUACCAAUAGGUGCCCUACUUUCUGAGGCUACUUUCUGAGGCCGUACUCCCUGGUCUUUGUGGUUGAAUCUGUGUUUGAAAUUCACUGCUUGACUGAGGGACCUUACAGAUAAUUAAUUGUAUGUGGGGUACAGAGAUGAGGUGGCCAUUCAAAAAUCAUGUUAAAACACUAUUAUUGCACAAAAAGUGAGUCCAAGCAACAUAUGUGACUUGUUUAGCAAAUGUUUUACUCCUGAACUUAUUUAGGCUUGCCAUAACAAUGGGAUCGAUACGUAUUGACUCAAGACAUUUCAGAUUUUUCAUUUUUAACACAUUUGUAAAAAAAUAUAUAUAUAUAAAAAAGGAAAUCCACUUUGACAUUAUUGUGUGUAGACCCGGUGACAAACAAUUUAUAUUUAAUACAUUUUCAAUUCAGGCUGUAACACAACAAAAUAUGGUAAAGGUCAAGUGGUGUGAAUACUUUGAAGGCAUACACAACCCCCUUCCCCGAGGAGACCUUUUACCAGUUGCCACUGUCACCUUGCAGCAAAUGCAUCAGUAAAAAGGUCUAGAUAUACAAGUCAGCUUUGAUUGAUUAGUGUAUAUGGGCCCAUAAGUAGACAAACACCAUAUGUAUUUUGAAAGUGAAGCUAACAUUUUUUUUACUUGUCUCUAUACUCCAGCAUUUUUGAUUUGAGAUCAAAUGUUUCAUGACUCGACAGUACAGAAUGUCACCUUAUAUUUGAGGGUAUUUUCGAUCAUCUGUUUUACCGUUUAUAAAAGAAAGCACAAUGUAUCUAUUCCUUCCAUUUGAAGUCAUAAGUAUUUGGACAAAUCCACUUAUAGUGUAUUAAAGUGGUUAAAAGUAUAGUAUUUGGUCCCAUAUUCCUAGCACGCAAUGACUACAUCAAGCUUGUUACUCUACAAACUCAUGGAAUGCAUUUGCUGUUUGUUUUGGGUUAUGUUUUGCCCAACAGGAACUGAAAUGGAGAAAGACGACUGGAGUAAUUAUAACAAACAAUUCAAUUCUAAAAGCCAUAACUAGAGCAAGGUAAAAAGGUAACUGCCAAAAUAAAGGAUGUAAAUGAGGGAUACAAAGUAUAUUGACAGCAGGUGGUUCCACACAGGUGCGGUUCCUGAAUUAAUGAAGCAAUUAAAUCAUCCCAUCAUGCUUAGGGUCAUGUAUAAAAAAUGCCUAGUUGCCCAGCAUUUUAGCUACCAUGCCUAGAAGAGAUCUUAGUGACUUUGAAAGAGGGGUCUCAAAUGGGCAUAGGGGGUUUAAAGGGUUUGUUUGCGUGUGUGUGUCACCAGAUCUCAACCCAACUGAACACUUACGGGAGAUUCUGGAGCGGUGCCUGAGACGGCGUUUUCCACCACAAUCAACAAAACAAUUAUGGAAUUUCGUGUGGAAGAAUGGCGUCGCAUCCCUCCAAUAGAGUUCUGGACAUUUAUAGAAUCUAUGGCAAGGUGCACUGAAGCUGCUCUGGCGGCCCAUCGCUUUAUAUUGGCGUUUCCUUUUAGCAGUUACCUGUAUUUUGUUUCAUUUGAAAACAGUAUAACUUUUUCCAAUCUCUAAAUAAGUAGAUUAAUAUUUAGAAGAGCUAAGACGUUUUGGAACACUAACGUAAUGAUUACGAAAAACCAUGAAUAAACAAUGAAUAAUGAUGAGUGAGAAAAGUACAGAGGUUACAACAAAACAUGCUAACCGCUCACCAUUACCAACAACAGAGGUUACAACAAAACAUGCUAACCGCUCACCAUUACCAACAACAGAGGUUACAACAAAACAUGCUAACCGCUCACCAUUACCAACAACAGAGGUUACAACAAAACAUGCUAACCGCUCACCAUUACCAACAACAGAGGUUACAACAAAACAUGCUAACCGCUCACCAUUACCAACAACAGAGGUUACAACAAAACAUGCUAACCGCUCACCAUUACCAACAACAGAGGUUACAACAAAACAUGCUAACCGCUCACCAUUACCAACAACAGAGGUUACAACAAAACAUGCUAACCGCUCACCAUUACCAACAACAGAGGUUACAACAAAACAUGCUAACCGCUCACCAUUACCAACAACAGAGGUUACAACAAAACAUGCUAACCGCUCACCAUUACCAACAACAGAGGUUACAACAAAACAUGCUAACCGCUCACCAUUACCAACAACAGAGGUUACAACAAAACAUGCUAACCGCUCACCAUUACCAACAACAGAGGUUACAACAAAACAUGCUAACCGCUCACCAUUACCAACAACAGAGGUUACAACAAAACAUGCUAACCGCUCACCAUUACCAACAACAGAGGUUACAACAAAACAUGCUAACCGCUCACCAUUACCAAACAACAGAGGUUACAACAAAACAUGCUAACCGCUCACCAUUACCAACAACAGAGGUUACAACAAAACAUGCUAACCGCUCACCAUUACCAACAACAGAGGUUACAACAAAACAUGCUAACCGCUCACCAUUACCAACAACAGGGGCGGGGUGGUCUGAUCCGUGUGUGUAACUUUCUCACUCAUCAUUAUUCACGAUUCAUUCAUUAUUAGCCAUUAUUAAUCAUGGUAGCAUCCACAAUAAUGUAGAAGUGUUCAGAAACAUAUUCUAUUCUUAAUUACAAUAAAAGUGACUCAAAUCACAGAACAUUAUUCACCCUUCAGUUCCUAUUAGGCAAAACAUAAUCAGAAACAACCAAAACGUACUGCAAAUGCAUCCAACACGUUUGUAAAGUCAGUCAUUGUGUGCAACGAUGUAGUCAAUGUCUAAGGAUAUCUGUAGUGUCUGUAGGGACCAAAUACUAAAACAGUUUACUACUUUAAUAUACAAUAAGAGAUUUUAAAAAUUUUAUUUUACCCACUUUUUUCACCCCAAAUUCAUAGUAUCCAAUUGUUUUUCAUAGUUACUAUCUUGUCUCAUCGCUUCAACUCCCGUAAUGUAGGGACUAGAUAUAUAAAGUACUUUCAUUUCUAAAAGGCUAAAAAGAUACAGUUUUGUAUGAAAAUACCCUCAAAUAAAAGGCAACAUUCUGUACUGUCGCCUCAUAUGACACAUUUGUUCAAAUACAUAUGGUGUCGAUCGAGUGUCUCUAUAUAGAGCUCACUACAGUCAUUCAAAUCUCUGCUAUUGUCUGCUACGUACCAGUUGUGUUCCCAACCAAAAUAGGG